UUUUCUUUUUUUUUUUUUAAGGGUACUAAGCUUAGAAUUAAAUAAAGAUAGAGAUGUGGAAAGAAUCCAUGGGAGUGGUGUUAACACCCUUGAUAUUGAACCUAUUGAGGGAAGAUACAUGUUAUCAGGAGGAUCAGAUGGAAUAAUUGUACUUUAUGACCUUGAAAACUUCAGCAGAAAACCAUGUUAUACAUGUAAAGCAAUUUGUUCUGUGGGCAGGAGCCAUCCUGAUGUACAUAAAUUCAGUGUAGAGACAGUUCAAUGGUACCCUCAUGACACUGGCAUGUUUACAUCAAGCUCAUUUGAUAAAACCCUGAAAAUAUGGGAUACAAACACAUUACAACCUGCAGAUGUAUUUACUUUUGAGGGAACAGUUUAUAGCCAUCAUAUGUCUCCAGUUGCCACUAAGCAUUGCUUAAUAGCAGUUGGUACCAAAAGCCCCAAAGUACAGCUUUGUGACUUGAAGUCUGGAUCCUGUUCUCAAAUUCUGCAGGGUCACAGACAGGAAGUUCUGGCAGUGGCCUGGUCCCCGCGUUAUGAGUAUGUCUUGGCAACUGCAAGUGCUGACAGUAGAGUAAAACUGUGGGAUGUGAGGAGAGCGUCCGGAUGUCUGAUUACUCUUGAUCAGCACAAUGGGGAGAAAUCAAAAGCAUCUUCUGAAGCAGCAAACACUGCUCAUAAUGGACGAGUUAAUGGCUUAUGCUUUACAAGUGAUGGGCUUCAUCUUCUGACUAUUGGUACGGAUAACCGGAUGAGACUCUGGAAUAGUUCCAGUGGAGAAAACACACUGGUGAACUACGGAAAAGUUUGUAAUGAAAGCAGAAAAGGUCUCAAAUUCACGAUCUCUAUUGGCUGUGAUCCAGAAUUUGCAUUUGUACCAUAUGGUAGCACCAUUGCUGUUUAUACAAUUCACUCAGGAGAACUGAUAACUAUGCUUAGGGGACAUUAUAGUACUGUUGACUGCUGUGUAUUUCAGCCCAAUUUUCAGGAACUAUACAGUGGUAGCAAAGAUUGCAAUAUCCUUGCAUGGGUUCCAGCUCUACGAGAGCCAAUUCCUGAUGAAGAUACUGAAAAGCAGCCCACCAUUGAUCACAAUUCUGAUACAUAUUGGCUAUUCCUCCCCUGCCUACCAUUUCUAGAGGAAGUUUAAAGGUGUAGCACUGCCUUUGCAAGCCAUACCCCUUCUUCUGCUUGCUGAUGGAUCUUCUCCUUCUGUGACAGCUGUCAGGUUUUUCACAGCAGUGGAAUGAAUCAUCUGGCAGCAACAAGAGGAGAGGAAUGUGGCUAGCACAGGCUCUGCUGCAGCUUUGAAUUGCCUCUACAACUUGCAUACAGGAAAAAUAUAGCCAAUAUUUAAAAGAAUUGUGGGAGAUACUACUAGUAGAAAGGAAAUUGACAACACUUAAAUCCAGCAUUUGAAGAUGGAUGGAGCAGCAGUGAUGAUGAAGGAUGAAUCUCAGUUCACUGUUGACAUAACAUUCAUGCACUGUGUUUGUGGAGAAGGACUUCAUCUCCAGAAUUGAACAAGUAUUUGUCAUCAAGUCUUUGUAGUAAAGCCCAGGCUUACAGAAAUGAGAUUUUACUGUAAAGUUUCUUUUCAUGUACUAUCUUAAUGUUUCUUCUGUGUUGUUACUAUAUUUUAAAAUAGUAUUCUUUUAUUUAUCUGGACUUCUCAUCCUCUUCCCAUACACCUACUCCCAAUCUUUAGGCACUGCAAUUGUAUAGGUAUAUUGUACCUACAUAUUAAGAAAAGCAAAACUUCUGAUGAUCAGCUGCUAGUACACAUCAUCUCUCUUCUUGUGUCGUUAAAAUGGUGAUUCCUUCCAUUUCCAGGGGACCGAAGUGGAAUAGAUUUGAUGGAUGAAUGUGGAGAGGAGCUGGGUGUAUAAGUCCCAGUUCCUUAGUGUGACCCCAUUUUACAGAAGCCUCUGCACAAGUGAGUUGUGAAAUCCAGAUUGCUCAGUUAGAUAAAACCAGACCUGCUUCCUUCGAUCUAGAUAUUUAUAUAGGCCCCAUCAAUUAAUAUCUAAUCCCAUUUAUUUAAAAAUAGAAGCAAAUUACAUGGAAUAGGAUCAUACUGAUCCUGUUAACAGAAUCAUAAGAUUAGUGGGCAUUCUCUGCUGCAUGAAACCCUCCCUAAGUGGAGGGGAGAAUUCAUGGAUAGUCAUAGGCAAACACUGACAGCUGAAGAGUCAGAAUGGGAAUGAGAAAGGGAAAGCUGGUGCUGAGUCAGCGGGCCUGUGCCAAUGUGGUAUGAUGUGAUUAAGAUUGAACCUCCCACCUGUUCUGGGAAUGCAGGACCUUCUCUUCCUUUCUCAGCCCGAUGAUUUAGAGAAGUUUCGGCAAGCUGUGUUUCCUGUCUCUGUUGUGUAUGUUUUCCCUCUUUGGGUAUAGUGUAGCUUUAUAGAUUUAACAAGCCUCAAGUCAGAAGAAAAAAUUGAAUAAAAUUAAAGUGUAAAAAGUCAUUCAAAAUGUCUUCAUUUCAACUGAAUAUGUGGCUAGUGUCUUUGCUCUAUACUGUUCUGUGGGUCAGUUCCUAGGCCAGCACUGGGCUGAAUAUGGUACACUCACUAUUCCCUGAGGACUGAGUUAAGGAGCUGCACUGAAAGGCUUCCUAUAAAAUGGAAGAAGGAUGGUUGGGUUGCAAUUUUUCCAUGGAAAAAGGAAGAGAAGGGAAAAAUUUAUAUCAAAUGGCGGAGCAGGCUUCAAAUAAGGAGAAAAGUGUUACGGAACUGAAUGGAAAACAUACGCCUUGUGUACUGUAUGUAACUAACAGAAUUAGUGCACACUUCAGAAUUACAUUUCUCAAUAUCUCAUAUGUUUUUUUUUUUUUAAAUGCAUAUCAUUCCAUAUAAUAGUUCAGUGAAAGGGGCCUGGAGAGACUCAAGGAAAUCCUUGUAAUUAAGUGUUAAUAUAGAGAAUAUUUAAGUUUAUAAUACCAAGAAAUGCUGAACCCAAAAUUUGACCUCCCUCUAAGUUGUUAUGAAACUAUGUAAGUUAGCGACAUAGAGAUUUUUAAAAAGUCACUUAAUUUUAGUUCAAGGGACCAGUAUGGACCCUCUAAGUGUAGGAAAAUAUAACAAAUUGAAAUUGGCUCUCAAAGGAAACUUUCAUUUAAUUACCAAUUGUUCUUUUCCUCCUGAAGUCUGGUGUAUCUUUGUAACUUAAUGAAAAUAAGCUUUAUUUACAAACAAAAAGCAAAGUGGAUAAUCUAUUUGUUAUUCCUGGGCAACAUUUUUAUUACAUGUUCUGUAAAGAUACAAAUGCUACAUAUACAGCAUAUAGAAUUUCUAUUUCACGUUUCCAAAUUUAAUAAAAAGGUGUUUUUGUUUUGAGAGUCAUGUUAAUUAAAUCCUGUGUUUUGUAAA